rnacentral:snRNA from 1 species
GGAAUUGACUGACAGGUACUGUAUACUAAAAUUGGAACGAUACAGAGAAGAUUAGCAUGGCCACUGCGCAAGGAUGACACGCAAAAUCGUGAAGCGUUCCACAUUUUU